rnacentral:rRNA from 1 species
CCUACGGGAGGCAGCAGUGAGGAAUAUUGGUCAAUGGACGCAAGUCUGAACCAGCCAAGUAGCGUGCAGGAUGACGGCCCUCCGGUUUGUAACCUGCUUUUAGUUGGGUAUAAAAUGGGGCUCGUGAGCCCCGAAUUGUAUGUACCAUCAGAAAAAGGACCGGCUAAUUCCGGGCCAGCAGCCGCGGUAAUACGGAGGGUCCGGGGGUUAGCCGGAUUGAUUGGGCUUAAAGGGAACGUAGGCCGGCUUUUAAGUCAGUUGUGAAAUUUUGCGGCUCAACCGUAAAAUUGCAGUUGAAACUGGCAGUCUGGAGUACAGUAGAGGUGGGCGGAAUUCGUGGUGUAGCGGUGAAAUGCUUAGAUAUCACGAAGAACUCCGGUUGCGAAGGCAGUUCACUGGACUGCAACUGACACUGAGGCUCGAAAGUGUGGGUAUCAAACAGGAUUAGAUACCCGAGUAGUC